AUGGCAGCUGAAGUGGCAAGCCCACCAGCUCAUGGGCCGGGCCUGGCUGGGUGCCGAUCGAAGGGAAGGCAGACUACUACAAGUAACCAGACCAGGCGCAGCGAACAGCCAUCCGGGCUUGGAUCAAGUCAAAGGCAACGGCGGCUCCCUCCUCCCCUAGCUUCUCCUACCUCCUCUCGGCCUGGUAUGUUCAACAUGAGGGAGAGGGCCAAAUGGGAUGCAUGGGAAGCUGUUAAAGACAAAUCUAAGGAAGCCAUGAACGACUACACCACCAAGGUGAAGCAGCUCCAGGAGGAGGCAGCUGCUGCAGGCAGCUAUUCUCAGCGACGAACCCUUUGUGCUAUCUUAUUAUGA
rnacentral:rRNA from 1 species